UGUAAUAACAAAAAGUUAUUAUGUUAUUGGUUUUAUUACAUUUAAAUGAUCACGCUAUUGGCCGUUAUUGUUCUGUUAUUACUGUGUAUUUUAAGACAGUUGAAUGGUUAAAUGUGGGAGAACUUGUUGAAAAGAAGUCCGUUGCUGCCACCUACUGGCGACUGUGAGAGCUGCUUGAAGAUGUGUCAUUCUUUGAUGAUGUCAUCAGUGAGAGCCCUCAGCUGAAUUAAGGCAUUGUCAGAGCUGCUGCAUUCUGUUCUGCUCACGAUAAAGUGGGCCUUUAACGGCAUUGUCGUUUUACCCGACUCCAUAUGACCUCAAUAAAGGAGUACAAGUUUCAACUCUCUUGUCACAUCGUCGUUUUGGAGAGGAGUUUAUUCUGACUGUCGACUCUAAAAAGGCGUUAGAGGCAGGGGACAGUACAGUUAUUACGAUAUCGGUUGCUACAUGUGUUUAUUAUUUUUUACUAAGUGUAUUUUUGUACUUUUCAAGUAUCACUCAUUGAAAUGGGAAGCUUUUUAUAUCUUGUGUUUCAUACAUUUUGUACCCUUCUGUCAUUGUAUUCAUCGUUUUUAUUGUUUGGUCAAAAAAUAUGAAAACAACCCAACGUUACUGGGUUGGCAAAGUUGAUGAGUUUGUAUAAAUGCAUUCAAAUAAAAACAUGUAAUAACAUAAUUUUCAAUUAUCUCUAUUUGUAGGUGCUUCCCCCCACGAACCACAUCCACCCUCCACCCUGAAAAGCUUGUUAAGCCCCUGGUUGACACAAAUGAAAGCAAGCAUAGUCGUACACAUCACACAAGUGACUAAACGAUCAACAACAGGAAUGGCCAGUGUGGUAAAUCCUAAAGCAGCCUUCUUUAACUGCAAGUAUAGCCAAUACUUUUCACUACUUAAAAGGAAAUCAUUUAUAUGUCAAAUGCACAUUAUGUCCUGGGCAAAAGUGCUUCUCCACGUCGCUGUCAAGCAAAACACAAGUUUAGGUUUGUGUACACUGUUGCUGUUAGUAAUAUAUUGUAUUAAGUUACCAUUUCAUUAUAAUAUUCAGAUUUACCUAAAUAAUUGAACAUUUUAAUCUCUGUUAAAGAGGGGGUGGAGGUGGGGUCCAAUUCUUUGAGCACUUAAAAUGUACUUGAAGGUAACGCAAUAGUUACUUUCCCCAUUAACUAGUUACUUUUAUCAUUUGUAACUCAGUAACUAAUUCAGUUACUUUUUGGGAGAAGUCACUAGUAACUGUAACUAAGUAACGUUUAAAGUUAAAGUUAGUUUUUAUUAACACUGCCUGCAAUUGUACGUCUCCUCGUCGUUGAUUGACACUAACAAAUGUUUGCAACCAGAGCAGCACACACACACACACACAGCAGCUUGGAGCGAACAUUGAUGAAAAGUAUGUUGUGUUUGUUUUAUAGUUAUUUCUUGUUGCAUAAAAAGAAGGGGGUUUGGGGAAGCAAACACAACCCAGCGAUCCACUCGGCAGAUCGACAACACUCGUUGGUGUGAAAGGCCUUUACACUCAGAAAGAUGAAUAGGUAACAAUGGCCACAUUUAAGUGUGUGCAAGUGCAGUUUGUUAGUAAUACCAUCAUUUGUAUUUGUCAUGAAUAAAAAAACAUGUUUAAACAUA